rnacentral:tRNA from 1 species
GGAGAGGUGCCAGAGCUGGUUGAUUGGGGUGGCCUGCUAAGCCAUUGUGGGCGAAAGUCUACCGUGGGUUCGAAUCCCACCCUCUCCGCCA